AUGUUCUGGUUUCUCUGGGCGUAUAAAUCUUUCACCUUUUACUAAAGAUUUCUGUGGAGAGGCACAUUUAUGUGUUUUCAAACUAAUCAUUUUGAAAAAUGCAAGUUUCAAUUGU
ensembl:snRNA U5 U5 spliceosomal RNA